AGGAGCCAAAACAGCAGCGCAGGUUGUCCCCGUUUCCCCUCCCCCUUCCCUUCUCCGGCUGACUUCCCGGGACCCCUACACUCCACAGUCCUGGUCCCGCCAUGUCCCAGAAACAAGACGAAGAGAACCCUGCGGAGGAGACGGGCGAGGAGAAACAGGACACGCAGGAGAAAGAAGGUAUUCUCCCUGAGAGAGCUGAGGAGGCAAAGCUAAAGGCCAAAUAUCCAAGCCUAGGACAAAAGCCUGGAGGCUCCGACUUCUUCAUGAAGAGACUCCAGAAAGGGCAAAAAUACUUUGACUCAGGAGACUACAACAUGGCCAAAGCCAAGAUGAAGAAUAAGCAGCUGCCAAGUACAGGACCAGACAAGAACCUGGUGACUGGUGACCACAUCCCUACCCCACAGGAUCUGCCCCAGAGAAAGUCCUCGCUCGUCACCAGCAAGCUUGCGGGUGGCCAAGUUGAGUGAUGCUGCCCGGGGCUCCGCCAGAUCCUGAGACGCUGCCCCCCUGGGUCCUGUGCUGGCUCCUGCCUCUCCCUGCUUUUGCAGCCAGGGGUCAGGAGGUGGCUUGGGCACGGGCUGGAGAGGCAGAAGCCCCUGCCCAUCGGUGUCCCAGCGCAUGGAGCCCCUUGGGCUGAGCACCAAGACCUUGAACCUUUUUUAUUUUGCCUUUUUCCCAAAUAACUGUUGGGAGAAAUCUCAAUGAAAUCCUGGGGGUGGGGUUGAAAAGGUGGGAUGGGAGAUUUGGGAGAAUAUGUAUUAGGGCUUGGAGUUCAUAAAAACACUCCUAACUAUCCUCCUCCUUGACCUUGUGACUGGUGUAGGAUAGGUGUGAGGGGGAGGAAGUGGAGUAAAGGUAAGGAGUUCUAGUUCAGUUCUGUGGAUAAAUGCCUUUGGAUAUGGCUGGAGACCUGGUGCCAGACAAAAGAAACUCAGUCUGCAUACAACAGAUUCAAACAGCUCCUUUGAUUCUGUAGAGCUAGCUGAGAACCUAAUGUUAACUGUUCAUUUAAAAAAGUGCUGUCCUUGAAACAGAUUUGAUGUGGGGAGAGGGGAGUGAGUGUGGGGGAAAGGAGCCAUGAGCAUGGGGAGCCCCACAGAGCCCAAGGGACUUUUUAAGUAUUCGAAAUAAAAA